rnacentral:rRNA from 1 species
GACGAACGCUGGCGGCGUGCUUAACACAUGCAAGUCGAACGGACCUGCUAUCGCUUGCGGUGGUUGGUUAGUGGCGAACGGGUGAGUAACACGUGAGUAACCUGUCCUUUUCUUUGGGAUAAGCGCCUGAAAGGGUGUCUAAUACUGAUUAUUCUGCUAUUUCCGCAUGGUUUUGGUUGGAAAGAUUUAUUUUGGGAAGGGUUGGGCUCGCGGCUUAUCAGCUUGUUGGUGGGGUGAUGGCUUACCAAGGCUUUGACGGGUAACCGGCCUGAGAGGGUGACCGGUCACAUUGGGACUGAGAUACGGCCCAGACUCCUACGGGAGGCAGCAGUGGGGAAUAUUGCACAAUGGACGAAAGUCUGAUGCAGCGACGCCGCGUGAGGGAUGAAGGCCUUCGGGUUGUAAACCUUUUUCGCCCCUGGACAAGGCAUCACUUUGGUGGUGUUGAGGGUAGGGGGUAAAGAAGCUCCGGCUAACUACGUG